rnacentral:misc_RNA from 1 species
GAUGAAGAACGUAGCGAAAUGCGAUAAGUAAUGUGAAUUGCAGAAUUCAGUGAAUCAUCGAAUCUUUGAACGCACAUUGCGCCCCCUGGUAUUCCGGGGGGCAUGCCUGUCCGAGCGUCAUUACAACCCUCAAGCUCAGCUUGGUGUUGGGCCCCGCCGCCCCGGCGGGCCCUAAAGUCAGUGGCGGUGCCGUCCGGCUCCGAGCGUAGCAAUUCUUCUCGCUCUGGAGGUCCGGUCGUGUGCUCGCCAGCAACCCCCAAUUUUUUUCAGGUUGACCUCGGAUCAGGUAGGGAUACCCGCUGAACUUAAGCAUAUCAAUAAGCGGAGGA